AAAUAGAAAGCUAUUAGCAUUCAGUUUCGACCUGAAAGAUAAAUGAAAUACAUUUCUAUUUA
rnacentral:tRNA from 1 species